UACGGAGGAUCCAAGCGUUGUCCGGAAUCAUUGGGCGUAAAGGGCGCGUAGGUGGCGGGACAAGCGUGCGGUGAAAGCCUGGGGCUCAACCCCGGGUCGGCCGUGCGAACUGUUUUGCUUGAGCACUGUAGAGGCAGGCGGAAUUCCGGGUGUAGCGGUGGAAUGCGUAGAGAUCCGGAAGAGCACCGGUGGCGAAGGCGGCCUGCUGGGCAGUAGCUGACACUGAGGCGCGACAGCGUGGGGAGCAAACAGG
rnacentral:rRNA from 1 species